GCAGCGAUGUCCGAGUGGAUAAGGAGACUGACCAGAAAACAGUUGCGUUCUGCCCGCGUAGGUUCGAAUCCUGCUCGUUGAG
rnacentral:tRNA from 1 species